GACGAACGCUGGCGGCGUGCUUAACACAUGCAAGUCGAACGGAAAGGCCCUGCUUUUGUGGGGUGCUCGAGUGGCGAACGGGUGAGUAACACGUGAGUAACCUGCCCUUGACUUUGGGAUAACUUCAGGAAACUGGGGCUAAUACCGGAUAGGAGCUCCUGCUGCAUGGUGGGGGUUGGAAAGUGUCGGCGGUUGGGGAUGGACUCGCGGCUUAUCAGCUUGUUGGUGGGGUAGUGGCUUACCAAGGCUUUGACGGGUAGCCGGCCUGAGAGGGUGAGCGGCCACAUUGGGACUGAGAUACGGCGCAGACUCCGACGGGAGGCAGCAGUGGGGAAUAUUGCACAAUGGGCGGAAGCCUGAUGCAGCAACGCCGCGUGCGGGAUGACGGCCUUCGGGUUGUAAACCGCUUUCGCCUGGGACGAAGCGUGAGUGACGGUAAUGGGUAAAGAAGCACCGGCUAACUACGUG
rnacentral:rRNA from 1 species